rnacentral:rRNA from 1 species
UACGUAGGGUGCAAGCGUUAAUCGGAAUUACUGGGCGUAAAGCGUGCGCAGGCGGUUAUAUAAGACGGUUGUGAAAUCCCCGGGCUCAACCUGGGAACUGCAUUUGUGACUGCAUGGCUAGAGUACGGUAGAGGGGGAUGGAAUUCCGCGUGUAGCAGUGAAAUGCGUAGAUAUGCGGAGGAACACCGAUGGCGAAGGCAAUCCCCUGGACCUGUACUGACGCUCAUGCACGAAAGCGUGGGGAGCAAACAGG